AGUGAGAGUAGUCUAGUUAUUAUGGAUUUGACAUGAACUUGGCCUGGUGCCCUGAGGGAAUGCAAUGUAGGCAUAAUUUGGUCUUCCUGUAAUUGUCUAUUUAACUUGGCAAUACAAAGUAAUUUUUUCCUGUGAAAUGAGACCGAGACGUCACUAAAGCGGUGGUCAGAUUAAUUAAUGAGACAUAAUAAUACUCCUAAUAAAAGCUCAUGAGCUGAGUCCUCUUCCCUCCCCUUUCCUCUCCUCCCCUGCUGUCCUCCCCCUGCUGAGAACGCAGCUUCCCAGGAAUCCAUGAGUCACACUUCGUAAAGGAGUUUCUUCUUUACUUGACGCAAACAAUACAGCGGGGAAAAAUAAUAAGUGCAGAACCAUCUGUUUGAUGAAGUCCUUGACAUUUUAUUUCAUUUCCCCCUAUUGCAUAUUGAAGGAAGUAAAUAGAAAAACAUUUGCUAAUUAUACCACUGUUUACUGAUUGCUGGGAUGACUUUCAUUGUAUUUAUCAGAAGCGCUAGCCCAUCCUGCAGUCCCAGCUUCAGCAUACUCCUUUCUGCUUUGUGGGAGAGGAGCACAACAGCAGCCAUGGGUGCUCUGUAAGGCUUUUGAGUCCUGAAGCUCACGAAGGAGUGGGAAUGUGCCUCUUCUGUGCAGGUACCCGAAGAUACAACAAUAGCAUUUGAUGCAAUGCUGUACGGUACUCAACCAAGUAUAGAAAGAGACAGCUUUCAUUGAAGAGAAACCCUACCAGCCAGUCUAAUUAGUAUUAGGGCCACAGUUUCAAAAGGUCUUAAAAAACAUAGCAACAAUACAUUCCAACACUUCCCCCUGAUUAUGGGAAAGCACCCUGCCCUCCAAACCUAGGUAUCCAGGUUUCUCUUGUUUGAAAUUGGGUUUUCUCCAGGAUUAUGUGACCAAUGAAAGACCAAAUUUGUCCUGUGGUGCUGAGCUGUAAUCAGCCGUGGAAGACACAUGGAAGAAGUGAGGAGUUGACCCUGCAAGGCAAAGUCACUGCGAGUUGAGAGUAUGUUGGAGAUUUUAUUUCCUUCACUGACAUGGCUUUCUACAAUUAUAGGGUGACUAGUUAUGUGACAUUAAUGUGCGUGCUUGGUCUUUAUUGUCAGCCCAUGACCUAAGACUAUUGAUGUACACAGCCUCCAGCCCACCUCAGAAGACUAGUGAUAUCUACCUUAAAUGCUUAAACUAGUUUAACAUCUGAGCCUAUAUUUAUUUUCAAAAUAUAUUUAAAAGGUUUUGUUGGGUUUGGUUUGUUUUUUUAAUUAACCGUUGGUUAUAUAAUUGUCCUUAUUUCUUUGUUAAUAUUAAUUAUCAAUAACUUCUGUCAUAUAAGUGACUGAAUUUCAAAGGGACUCAUUUCACAUGCACCUUGGAAUCCCACUUUUAGGAUUGUCCUCCUUGUGCCAAGAGAUGCCCACACCAGUUCUGUCCUCCACUUGCUUUUCAGUUUUCCUAUCUGUAAAGGAGUCUUAUCCACCUCUUUAUGCAAUGUUUGCACCACAUCUUUAAAUCCAAGUAACUCCAUCCUAUGUCCAGUCAAAACUCUAUGAGAGUCUCUAGCACAGAUGAGCUCCUGGGAAUAAUAUUUUGCUAUCAGAAGAGCAUGUCAUAUCUGGAUCUGGAUCUGACUCAUUGCACAGAAAGACAGACAGUUGUCUAUACGCCUAAGUGGCCUAUGAAGGCCUUGAAGAAGCAUCUUGCUAAGUUGUAAAGGGCAAUUGAUAUUCUGUCAGCAUGUGAAAGCUUCAAAAUAAAAUACCAGACUUACAUGCUCUUUCCAUGUCCAUGGAACUUCAAGGGAUAAACGUAUUCAUUUCCUUUCAUUUUGAAUCUGUCUGAAUGCUUUUAAACAUAGUUAAGAUCAAAUCUUUCCAACACUGAGACCUAUGGCAAAUCUCCCUCUGACUUUCAUGAGACAGGGAUUUGGCAAGUAAGAAUUAGUGUCUAGGGAGGGUGCAUUGAAAUAAAUGGUGAUUGUCAAAAUGCAUUGGAAUUUAGAACACAUUUGUUGCAAAGAUAGAAGCUCACUGGGGUAACUGAUUGUCAGAGUCAAUUUUAUUUUUCUUACUGUACAUAUGCACAUAUUUGAACCUAGUCAUGCUGCAAAGGGAAAUACCUCAUCAGAUUUCACUAGGGUUUCUUCAGAGUUGUUUACACACUAUAAUCAAUAAAGAUAUUUUUUUGUUUAAUAAAUGAAAUAGUGGAAUGGACUGUUCUAUCAGGAAAUCAAAGGAAAUGCAUUUAUCCCUAGUAAAGAUGAAGCUACUCUUUAUAGGGUGCAGAAAGCCUACAAUGUGUGUUAUUUUUCAAAUAGUUGAAAGAUUUAUAGUGGUAAAUGGAUUCUUUUUCAAUCUCUUGAUCAUAUUGUCUGCAGCAAAGCAAAUGUUACAAAUAAAAACAAGAAUAAACCAAGAGCAUUUCUACAUUCUGUAUUUUCAAUUAUGAUUUUAACAGAAAUGAAUCACUUGUUCUUUUUUCAUUUGGAAACAGUUUUACUUCCCUUUUCCCCACUGGACAUAUAAUUUUGAUUUAUAAACACAGCAAUCUGGAGCAAAGGGAAGUUUUAAGCAUAGUACCUACUCCUGCUGAGGCCUAGUUUUAUUUUGCUUAGUUUUUUGGGUUUUUUUACAUUUUCAGAUCAAUUUUAGCUUUGUAUUUUAAAGAUUAAAAAUAAAGUUGUAGAUUACAUAUUUUGCCCAUUUCAAAUUCACACAGGCCUAGGGUUUCAUCUUAUACCCAAGGCCUCAUUUUAUAAACAUGGUGAAGAGUUCUUCCAGUUAAAAUGUGCUUUUAACUGGGAUAAACCUGUCUCCCAAUGUUAAGACUUAUAAAUCUUCUCCACAGUGCUAUUUACAAUCCAGCU